rnacentral:lncRNA from 1 species
UUUGAUUUGAUGCCUUUGAUUUGAUGCUUUGAUUGACUCGAUCUGAUUCAGUGGAGCCUCGGAUCUGUUGUUCUUUGGUUUGAGAAACGAAAAUAAAAAGGAAAUAAUAGGUAGAGAGAGAGAGAGAGAGAGAGAGAGACAGAGAGAGAAUGGAAAGAGGAGAGGAGAGGNAGAGAGAGAGAGAGAGAGAGAGAGAGAGAGAGAGAGAGAGAGAAUGGAAAGAGGAGAGGAGAGGAGAGAGAGGGAGAAAGGAAAGGGGGGAAAGAGAGAAGAGCAAAUUAAGAGAAGAUACCUGCUGAGAAA